rnacentral:tRNA from 1 species
GGUGUUNUGAACACUAAGAACUGCUAAUUCUUUCUACUGAAGUUAAAAUCCUCAGACCUCUUGCUUUU